rnacentral:rRNA from 1 species
UGCGAUGUUCGGGGCCGCACGCGCGCUACACUGAAGGAAUCAAMGUGUGCUUYCCAUGUCCGGCAGGACUUGGUAACCCGUUGAAUCUCCUUCGUGAUAGGGAUAGGGGCUUGUAAUUAUUCCCCUUGAACGAGGAAUUCCCAGUAAGCGCGAGUCAUCAGCUCGCGUUGAUUACGUCUCUGCGCUUUGUACACACCGCCCGUCGCUACUAGCGAUUGAACGACUCAGUGAGGUCAUCGGACUGGCGCUCGGAGCGGCCUUCCGGCCGUGCCGACGUGACGGAAAGAUGCCCRAACUUGGUCGCUUAGAGCAAGUAAAAGUCGUAACAAGGUUGCC